rnacentral:rRNA from 1 species
UAAUACGGGGGAUGCAAGCGUUAUCCGGAUUUAUUGGGCGUAAAGCGCCUGUAGGUUGUUUAAUAAGUCUGUUGUUAAAGACUAGGGCUUAACCCUAGGAAAGCAAUGGAAACUACUAGACUUGAGUAUGAUAGGGGUAGAGGGAAUUUCUAGUGUAGCGGUGAAAUGCGUAGAUAUUAGAAAGAACACCGGUGGCGAAGGCGCUCUACUGGAUCAUUACUGACACUCAGAGGCGAAAGCUAGGGUAGCAAAAGGGAUUAGAUACCCCUGUAAUCCUAGCCGUAAACGAUGGAUACUACAUGUUGCGUUUUUAAUGCAGUAUGGUAGCUAACGCGUUAAGUAUCCCGCCUGGGGAGUACGGUCGCAAGGCUG